rnacentral:rRNA from 1 species
UCCUACGGGAGGCAGCAGUGGGGAAUAUUGGACAAUGGGGGCAACCCUGAUCCAGCCAUGCCGCGUGUGUGAAGAAGGCCCUCGGGUUGUAAAGCACCUUCAGCGAGGAAGAACGCCUAGCGGCUAAUACCCGCUAGGAAAGACAUCACUCGCAGAAGAAGCACCGGCUAACUCCGUGCCAGCAGCCGCGGUAAUACGGAGGGUGCAAGCGUUAAUCGGAAUUACUGGGCGUAAAGCGCGCGUAGGUGGCUUGAUAAGCCGGUUGUGAAAGCCCCGGGCUCAACCUGGGAACGGCAUCCGGAACUGUCAAGCUAGAGUGCAGGAGAGGAAGGUAGAAUUCCCGGUGUAGCGGUGAAAUGCGUAGAGAUCGGGAGGAAUACCAGUGGCGAAGGCGGCCUUCUGGACUGACACUGACACUGAGGUGCGAAAGCGUGGGUAGCAAACAGGAUUAGAUACCCUGGUAGUCCACGCCGUAAACGAUGUCGACCAGCCGUUGGGUGCCUAGCGCACUUUGUGGCGAAGUUAACGCGAUAAGUCGACCGCCUGGGGAGUACGGCCGCAAGGUUAAAACUCAAAUGAAUUGACGG